AUUGAACGCUGGCGGCAGGCCUAACACAUGCAAGUCGAGCGAACCCUUCGGGGUUAGCGGCGGACGGGUUAGUAACGCGUGGGAAUAUACCCUUUGGUACGGAAUAGCCUCGGGAAACUGAGAGUAAUACCGUAUGUGCCCUUCGGGGGAAAGAUUUAUCGCCAAAGGAUUAGCCCGCGUUGGAUUAGAUAGUUGGUGGGGUAAUGGCCUACCAAGUCUACGAUCCAUAGCUGGUUUGAGAGGAUGAUCAGCAACACUGGGACUGAGACACGGCCCAGACUCCUACGGGAGGCAGCAGUGGGGAAUCUUAGACAAUGGGCGCAAGCCUGAUCUAGCCAUGCCGCGUGGACGAUGAAGGCCUUAGGGUUGUAAAGUCCUUUCAGAUGGGAAGAUAAUGACGGUACCAUCAGAAGAAGCCCCGGCUAACUCCGUG
rnacentral:rRNA from 1 species